AUUGAACGCUGGCGGCAUGCCUUACACAUGCAAGUCGAACGGCAGCACGGGAGCAAUCCUGGUGGCGAGUGGCGAACGGGUGAGUAAUAUAUCGGAACGUGCCCAGUAGUGGGGGAUAGCCCGGCGAAAGCCGGAUUAAUACCGCAUACGACCUGAGGGUGAAAGCGGGGGAUCGCAAGAACUCGCGCUAGUGGAGCGGCCGAUAUCAGAUUAGGUAGUUGGUGGGGUAAAGGCCUACCAAGCCGACGAUCUGUAGCUGGUCUGAGAGGACGACCAGCCACACUGGGACUGAGACACGGCCCAGACCCCUACGGGAGGCAGCAGUGGGGAAUUUUGGACAAUGGACGCAAGUCUGAUCCAGCCAUUCCGCGUGCAGGACGAAGGCCUUCGGGUUGUAAACUGCUUUUGUACAGAACGAAAAGGUCUCUAUUAGUACUAGGGGCUCAUGACGGUACUGUAAGAAUAAGCACCGGCUAACUACGUGCCAGCCGCCGCAGUAAUAC
rnacentral:rRNA from 1 species